rnacentral:lncRNA from 1 species
GGCAAGUGGCCACCAAGUGUUGUGUGACAGAGGUGUUACAACAUUUUUAUGGCAGUAAAAGCCUUAAUACAGAACCAACCCCUGAAGCACACAGAGGAUUUCCUUUGGUGUGUCCUGUACUGGGCACCGUGUCUGCACACCCACAGGGCUGACCAGGGCAGAAUUUUUAUAUCUAAAUGAUCCCCAAACCCCUCAGCUCCCAAAAUCAUUUGGUGCAGUCAACAGAUCUCACGUGCUUGAACCCUGAACUCCUGGAGAUCAGGAGCUGGCUGGAGGUUUCUUUUCUCCUCUGGAUUUAGGGAUUUCAUUUGGAUACUCAAUAUUUUCCUGCAGCAUGUACAGAAGGCAAACUGCUGUUUGCCAAACAUCCUCUGCUGAAGAGUGACAAUUUUUCUGCUUGGUUUUUCCCAUUUUUUUGCCACCUCUUGUUUGUGCCGUGGUUUCCUAGGACCUCACUUUCCUUUUGUCCUGAAGGAUUUCAUCCCUCUUCUUUUGAGAAGAAUUUUAAUUGAAGGAUUUUUAUUUCUCACCAGAUUGUGAUAAUAGGUGUUUGUGCAGUUGCUUGCUUUAUUGUUAAUUAGAGCUGCUUAGUAAUUUAAGCAGACAAUAUAUGGAUUAAUAAUAAUAAAGAUUAACCCCCAAUUUGCAAGUGGACCAAACUUAUAAAAGUGUGAAAACCCAUCAUCCAUUUUGGGUGCAGCCCCUGGGGGGGCCUUAAUCUGCCCUAAAUGUAUCUGAAGACCCUUCAAUAAAUAGAACUGCUUUCUAUUAUCUUAUUUUUGUCUGGCCUCUGCUUUUAGGUAGCCCCAAAAAGGCAUCACAGGCUCGUGAGUCUCAGCCACACGGUGCUUCCCAGGGGGAUCCAUUAACUUUUCUUGCUGCUGGUGAGCUCCUGGGACAACAUCUGAACUUUGCAAACGUGAAGGAAUUCAAACGGAGGCCUGGACGUCAUCGCGUUUUCCAAGUGGGCCAUAAAUCAGGGUUUGUUAUGGUCGUUCUCUCGUGAGGCAGAACAUGUGCAGGCAGAUAAGAGCCUGGAGGAAGGGGAGGCAGAGAGGAAAGAAACACCAGUAGGAAAGACCCCAUAAGAAAUGUUUUGACAGCCUCAGUCGAGCUGAGCAGCCAUGGAGGGGCUGGAGUGGCCCCUAAUUCACUAAUUUGAAGUGAAUUUGCUCUGGAGCGGGAAG